rnacentral:rRNA from 1 species
ACGCUCGACACCUACGGAGGCAGCAGUGGGGAAUAUUGCACAAUGGGGGAAACCCUGAUGCAGCGACGCCGCGUGGAGGAAGAAGGUCUUCGGAUUGUAAACUCCUGUUGUUGGGGAAAAAGAGGAUGGUACCCAACAAGGAAGUGACGGCUAACUACGUCNCNNNCGCGAGUAUNGNGGCGNGNGAGAG